UUUAUACACAAAUGUAAACAAAAUUCAACCUGUAUACACUGAAAAACUAAUCUAUUAAAUGGAGAAAUGUAAAACUAUACAAAUGGUAAAGUGUUCUUAUAACUAUGUAAUUGAUGUAAAAGGCUGACUUAAAUACAAACUCUAUAUAAAACUUAUUGAAAGUUCUUUAAAAACAGUUUUAUUGUAGCUUUUUCAAAAACUGUAUAUUGUUACUUCUAUUUUUUUUAACCAGACUGGAUAACAAAUAGGUCUAUACUUCUGUAAAGCAAUAUACAGAAUAAAUCUCAACAAUCAACAGUCUAUAAUAAAACUCUUAACUUUUAAGUAGACUUUGUGUAAAUCUUUAAGAUAUCUAAUACUUUAAGCAAAUAUGAGUGAUGGUGUGGUGAUCAGAUGACAGGCGAUGAAGAUUCUUCAGCUGGAUGUUCUGCAGCAGUCAGGAAACAGGAAGUCUGGGUUCUCAGGGCAGCCUCUAGAUGACAAUUGUAACUGAAUACUUACAGAGUGACAAAAAGGGGUUUGUCCUUAAAUAAUAAUAGUAUAAACUUGCAGUCAAAUGUUAUAGCCAAUGAAACAGACUUGAAAAAUAUAUUUGAAUCCAAUUUAUUAUCUAUGUGAAUAUAACAGUCUGAAUGUAUGUAUUACAAAAUAACCAGAUUAUCUUAUUACAAAUAAACCUUGAAAAAGUGUAAUGUAAAAAUUAAAAUGACAAAUGUAGGACUGUGUAAGUAGUUUCUACUGUGAGUUCUACUGUAGUGUAAUUCUACUACUGUAAUUUCAAGUUUCUACUUGUGAUUUCCAGCAAAAUGACUGGAUGUGAGAGAGUUUAACGACAGGAAAGAUGGAGCAGUGAGAGCAGAGAUCUCUCAGAAUUCUGAAAACAGAUCGACGAAGUUCUGGUAACUUCAAUUCAAAAACUUAGAUUCUGGUAAAACUUGAUUUCAAGUCACAGGAUUGCGUUUCAACUCAGGUUCAAGCUUGUCAACUUAGAUAGAGCUCAUGGCGGAGAAAUGAUAGAAGAUAGAAUGGCUUGUCAAAAAGAUGGAGCAGGGAGAGGGAGAGUGAUAGGACAGACUGAAUUGCUUGUUAAUGAUAGAGGGAGAGGGUAUUCUGCAGCAGGUCACCUGUAAGACAGAAAGAAAGUGGAAUUAGACACACUUCCAAUAAACCUGGCUUUACUGUAUUUUUCAGACUAUAAGGCACAUUUAAAAGCCUUUAAUUUUCUCAAAAAUAGACAGUGCACCUUAUGUAUGGUUGUGUUUACUGAUUUCAAACCAAUUCUAUGUGGUACACGGCACUCACGGCAUCUGUCAAAUGUUUUAAUAUGACUUUGGUAAGCUACAAAGCAGCACCACUUGAUGUAUUGUCGGAGCAUGGCUACCAUAGUCAGCA
ensembl:lncRNA